rnacentral:lncRNA from 1 species
CCAAUUAGAAGGGUGUCAAUACCUUUCCACGAGUGUGACACUGACGGUGUGAAUCCAUAAAGAGGAUAUCUCGAAGGAUGGGGUGUCACUCUAAUCUGGAAGGUUCCCCCAGGAUAAUAUAAAGUCUAAGUUGGUAGAAAGACCUCUCAUAACCUAUGUUGGCUACAUAGUUCUGGAGCUUAGGGACUUCUGCUAAAGGACUCAGUCAUAUACUAAUGGAUGAGCCUUUAUCCCUAUGUAUGCUCGGUUCUAUGUAUUACUCCC